rnacentral:sRNA from 1 species
AAGAUCCCACCACCACCCAAAGAAAAAACCUGGACUCAGCUGCGCGUCCCCUCCCUUCAACCUCCUGCGGGACCCAGAGGUGCCCGGGCCCGCGGGACCCAGGGGUGGCGCGCGCUGCCCCCAACCCCGCACCAUCCCGAGGCAAAUGAGGACCAUGCGGCAGUAGCAGCCAUGCUGCCCUUUCUGCUGGCCACACUGGGCACCACGGCCCUCAACAACAGCAACCCCAAGGACUACUGCUACAGCGCCCGCAUCCGCAGCACUGUCCUGCAGGGCCUGCCCUUUGGGGGCGUCCCCACCGUGCUGGCUCUCGACUUCAUGUGCUUCCUUUGUGGCUUCAGCUAUGCACGGGGACAGCCAUGACCGGUAUGAGCGUCUCACCUCUGUCUCCAGCUCCGUUGACUUUGACCAAAGGGACAAUGGUUUCUGUUCCUGGCUGACAGCCAUCUUCAGGAUAAAGGAUGAUGAGAUCCGGGACAAAUGUGGGGGCGAUGCCGUGCACUACCUGUCCUUUCAGCGGCACAUCAUCGGGCUGCUGGUGGUUGUGGGCGUCCUCUCCGUAGGCAUCGUGCUGCCUGUCAACUUCUCAGGGGACCUGCUGGAGAACAAUGCCUACAGCUUUGGGAGAACCACCAUUGCCAACUUGAAAUCAGGGAACAACCUGCUAUGGCUGCACACCUCCUUCGCCUUCCUGUAUCUGCUGCUCACCGUCUACAGCAUGCGUAGACACACCUCCAAGAUGCGCUACAAGGAGGAUGAUCUGGUGCGUGGAGCAGAGCCCAGGUCCUGCCCCAUCCCCAGCCUCUUCCCUUCCCUUCCCUUCCCUGCAGGCCUCUUUUGUCUCAGCCCCAAGAGGUGUCAGCUAGGUUUGAAUGCUGGCACAGCAGCUCAGGAGCUCCCAUCCUGAAGUUACAUAACCU